rnacentral:rRNA from 1 species
UACAGAGGUCUCAAGCGUUGUUCGGAUUCAUUGGGCGUAAAGGGUGUGUAGGUGGCGCGCUAAGUCGGGUGUGAAAUUUCGGAGCUUAACUCCGAAACUGCAUUCGAUACUGGCGUGCUUGAGGACUGGAGAGGAGACUGGAAUUCCUGGUGUAGCGGUGGAAUGCGCAGAUAUCAGGAGGAACACCGGUGGCGAAGGCGGGUCUCUGGGCAGUAACUGACGCUGAGGAGCGAAAGCUAGGGGAGCAAACGGG